rnacentral:rRNA from 1 species
AUGGCCGACCACCACUAUACACAUCUCGGCGGCGGCAGCGGGAGUGGCGGCGGCGGGGGCGGGGGCAGCCCGCCUGAGCGGCUGCACGGCGGCGGCGGGUCGGGGGACCAGGGGAUCAAGGAGCAGGACCGGCUGUUGCCCAUCGCCAACGUGGGGCGGAUCAUGAAGCAGGUCCUGCCGCCCAACGCCAAGGUGUCCAAGGAGGCCAAGGAGACGAUGCAGGAGUGCGUGUCGGAGUUCAUCAGCUUCGUCACCGGGGAGGCCUCCGACAAGUGCCACAAGGAGAAGCGCAAGACCGUCAACGGCGACGACGUCUGCUGGGCCUUCUCCGCGCUCGGCUUCGACGACUACGUCGACCCCAUGCGCAGGUACCUCCUCAAGUUCCGCGAGCUCGAGGGCGACCGCGCCGCCGCCGCCGCCUCCUCCCGCGGGGGCCUCCCCGUCCCCGACGCCUCCACCUCCGGCGCCGGCGCCAGCGGCUCCGGUAAUUUCAUGUUCGAAGCCAUGGACAGGAGGGAUAACACCGGCCCCGGCACCGGCAGGCAGUUUUGA